CCCACCCACUGCGCGCUGAACAGAGCCCGCGUUUCCUCAGAGCUGGAACUCCCGGCUCGGGCGGGGUCUCUUCCCUCCGCCGUCACGGAACUGCCCCGGAGCCCGAGGGGAGGGCGGCCUCACUGAGGCUGCCGGCUCUGGAGGUGCCCCGGCGGCCGAAGCCGUGACAGUCGCGGGGACGGCGGGCCGGAUCACUCAUCCUGGGGUAAGCCAGCUGCCAUGUCAUGAGGACACUCAAGCAGCCCUAAGGAGAGAUCCAUGUGGCAAGGAACUGAGGCCUCUUACCUACAGCCAUGAGGUGAAUCAAAAAAGAUCUUGCGGGCUUCCCUGGUGGCACAGUGGUUGAGAAUCUGCCUGCCAAUUCAGGGCACACGUGUUCGAGCCCUGGUCUGGGAAGAUCCCACAUGCCGUGGAGCAACUAGGCUCGUGAGCCACAACUACUGAGCCUGCGCGUCAGGAACCUGUGCUCCACAACAAGAGAGGCUGCGAUAGUGAGAGGCCCGUGCACCGUGAUGAAGACUGGCCCCCACUUGCCGCAUCUAGAGAAAGCCCUCGCACAGAAACGAAGACCCAACACAGCCAAAAUUAAUUAAUUAAUUAAUUAAUUAAUUUUUAAAAAAAGAUCUUGCUGUGA